UGCCAGCCGCCGCGGUAAUACAGAGGUGGCAAGCGUUGUUCGGUAUCACUGGGCUUAAAGGGCGCGUAGGCGGCGUGGUACGGUUUGGGUGAAAUCCCUCGGCUUAACCGGGGAGUUGCCUGGGCUACGGCCAUGCUUGACAGCAUCAGGGGAAGGUGGAACUCCCGGAGGAGCGGUGAAAUGCGUAGAUAUCGGGAGGAACACCAGUGGCGAAGGCGGCUCACUGGCUCGAUACUGACGCUGAGGUACGAAAGUGUGGGGAGCAAACAGGAUUAGAUA
rnacentral:rRNA from 1 species